AAAAAACACAGUAAGAAUAAAAGAUAUCACAAAUUAAAAACAGUCCUAAGCAAAUGAGUUUUAAGUAGCUUUUUAAAACCAUCCACUGAACCAGUAUUCCUAAUGUUAGUAGGAAAAGCAUUCCAUAGUUUGGUAGCAUGGAAAGAGGACGCCCUACCUCCCAUUGUGCUUAGUUUGAAGCAAGGCUGAAACAGUGUAGGACCAAAGGCAGAGCUUAGACAGUGAGAGGCAGAAGAAAUGGAUAACAGGUCACAAAUGUAACCUGGAGCAGAACCAUGAACCGCUUUACAUGUUAAGAUCAAUGUCAUUAAAUCAAUACGAGACUUGACGGGCAGCCAGUGAAGCUGUUGGAGGUAGGAGUGACGUGAGACCGAGACGAUGUAUGCGUCAACACACAUGCAGCAGAAUUUUGGAUGUAUUGUAAAAUCUUAAGAGAAUUAGCUGGUAACCCUCCGAACAGAGAAUUGCAAAUAUCUAAUAUACCGCAUUUAUUGUGUAUGGCCAUACACCCAAAGCAUGGCGGGGGGUCUUUCCGCACCACCACCAGUAUGUAGCAUCCACAUGGAUGAUGCGACGGCAGCCACAGGACAACAGUGUCAGUUUACUCACCACACACCAGCUAUUGGUGGAGUGGAGAGACAGUAAUAGAGCCAAUUCAGUGGAUGGGGAUAAUUGGGAGGCCAUGAUGGUUAAGGGCAGAGAGGGCAUUUGGCCAGGACACUGGAGCUACACCCUUACUUCCUACGAGAAGUGCUAUAGGAUUUCUAAUGACCACACAGAAUCAGGACCUUUCGAAUCGGGCUCAUCCGAAAGACGGCACCCACUGACAGUAAAGUAUCCCCUUCACUUUUACUUGGGCAUUAGGACUCACACAGACCACAGGUUGAGUGCCCCCUGCUGGCCUCACUAACAUCACUUUCAACAGCAACCUAAUUUUCUCAUCUGGUCUCCUAUCCUGGUACUGACCAGGCUCAGCCUACUUAGCUCCAGUGAGUAACCGUUCUUGGGAUGCAGGGUGAUAUGGCUGUGGCUGAAAGAAGACUGAUGAAUGGAUGAAGGCAGAGCAGAAACGAGACCCUCACUGAUAACCCCUCCUAAAAGCCCAGAAGGAAAGAAAAGUAGUGGGGAAAAGUAGUUUGUGAGGAGGAAAGAUUAUGAUAUUUGAUAAAAUUUCAGAUACAUCCUUUAAAACAAGCUCGACUAUAUGCAUAGAAAAAAUAAGGUCAGUGCCAAAAGCCUAGUGGUUAGUGGGUCGACACAUGGCACCAAGGUGUUCACGGUGACCUGAGUUCGAUUCCCAGCUUAGUCCUUUGCCAGUCCUUUACCUCUCUCCGCUCCCCUCACUUUCCUGUUUGUAAUCUCCACUGCCCUGUACAUUAAAAAAGAAAAGUACAUUUUGAUUUCAUUUCAAAUGUAACAUACAAUAAUACUUACUGUAAUACAUACUAUAUAUGUAACAAAAUUUCUACUGGAUCAAAGAAUCUCACAGAUCACUUUGAUCUGGAUCAGUUCCUGUUAGCGGUGUUUGUAGGAAAUAUGAUGCAGUGAUGUGGGUUAUUUGCUCAAGAAAGGAAGGAGUGCUUGAGGCAAACCUCCUCACUUAGUUUACCAAGUCUGAAGAGUUGAUGUAAGAGUGGCACACUGGUCAAACCUGUUCAAGGUUCUAGAAGCGAUUUGGCCCAGAGCAAUCUUAAAUUAAAAUUUAUGUUGAUUCUGGAACAUCAUUCCCAUAUUUGAAACUGUAUUCAUAACUAAGUCUGAUUGGCUGAUUGGAAUGUUGUUCCAGGAUCAACACAGAUGUUUAUCCAGGAGCAUGUCCUACUUGGUUGUAUUUCGUUAAAACCAGGUGAAAUGAGUAGGUUGACAAGAUCAGUGCAAGUGGCUUAUAAUCGCUGGAAAGACGUCAGGUAAUGCUGAUUCAAAUCUGUCCUUUCAUUUUUUUCACUGUUUCAUAGAGAUUUUCAUUGGCUAAAAAAUAAAAAUCGUGGCCUGAAAAUUUACUGUAUUAAAUUGCUGUAUAGUUUUUAAAAAGGCCACAAUAGUUACUCAAUAUUAAGUAAAAAAGAUUGUAUCAGAUUUUGCAUAGUGUUUUGAAAAACAUACUAAAAUCUACAUUUUUGUUUAGUCUUGAGAAAUUUCAGAAAAAUGACAAAAGCAUCCUUAAAUCUGAAAAUAAUGAGCCUCACGAUGAAGGAGCUUGUGUUAAUCUGGAGCAAGAGGAUUUGGGAGACAGAAAGACCAGAGGCUCUGGAAACUCAGAAAUCUUCACUGUUGAGGAAGCAGUUGAGGCUAUUGGUUUUGGAAGAUUUCAGUGGAAGCUCACUAUGUUAACUGGAAUCGCAUGGAUGGUGGAUGCUAUGGAAAUGGUGCUCCUAAGUGUUCUUUCUCCUCAACUGCACUGUGAAUGGAGGCUUCUGAGCUGGAAAGUGGCUUUCAUAGUAGUGGUCAGUUCAUUCACUGAUGCGCAUUAACACUGUUAAAGGAACAGUUCUCCCCAAAAAAUGCUAAUUCUGUCAUAAUUCAGUCACGCUUAGUUUCAAAACUAAUACAUUUUCUUUAUUUUUGAUAAACAAGAUAGUUUGAAGAAAGCUGAAAAACUGCAAUCAAUGACUUCCAAAGUAUUCUUUAUUUCGGAAGUAAAUGGUUAUAGGUUUCCAUCCAGCUUUCUUCAAAGUAUCUUCAUUUGGGUUCAACAGAAGCUCAUAAGGGUUUGGGAACACUUGAGGUUAAGUAAAUAAUUUGUCUAAUCAUUCUGGUGAACUAUCCCUUUAAAUAUCUACAUUUUAUUUAAAAAAUAUGACACAGUAUUGGGUUUAAAAAUAUUUUAUAAGUCACCCUGGACAUAAGUGUAACAUUUUAGAAAUCUGAAUAAAUAUGAUCUCCAUUUAUGCAUAGAUUGUUAGAAUUGAAUAAUAUUUGGUUAUGAUUCGUUUGUUUGAACAUUUGGAACCAGAGAGUUCAGAAAAAUCAAAAAAUGGAGAAAAUCACCUUUAAGGUUGCCCAAAUGAAGACUUUAGCAUAUUACUAAUGGACAAAUGCUGUAAAUACAUCUGUAAAUAACUUACCUAAUAUUCCAAAGAAUCUAUUCUAGAUUUUUGACAUAAAACAAUAGAAAAUUGGUAAAUUACUAAAAAUAUACCCAUGCAACUUAAGUUGGCCAGGGUCACAUAUUGAUUUUUUAAGGUUAAAAUUAGGCUCUUUUAUCAUAUUUAAUAUUUUGAAUUCCAAAUGCUCAGUGAUUAUUUAUGUAGCCAUUCCAAAGCCAUAAGAAAUUAGAUCCUCUUCAGAACACAAAUGAAGAUAUUUUAAAUUAUAUUUGAGAAAUUUCUGUUUAUUUCUGUAUGUUCACGUGUCUCAUGUUCAAUGUGCAUGUAUAAAAAAAACUAUUUUUGC